rnacentral:rRNA from 1 species
GACGAACGCUGGCGGCGUGCUUAACACAUGCAAGUCGAACGGAAAGGCCCUGCUUUUGUGGGGUGCUCGAGUGGCGAACGGGUGAGUAACACGUGAGUAACCUGCCCUUGACUUUGGGAUAACUUCAGGAAACUGGGGCUAAUACCGGAUAGGAGCUCCUGCUGCAGGGGGGGGGUUGUAAAGUUUCGGCGGUUGGGGAUGGACUCGCGGCUUAUCAGCUGGUUGGUGGGGUAGUGGCUUACCAGGGCUUUGACGGGUAGCCGGCCUGAGAGGGUGACCGGCCACAUUGGGACUGAGAUACGGCCCAGACUCCUACGGGAGGCAGCAGUGGGGAAUAUUGCACAAUGGGCGGAAGCCUGAUGCAGCAACGCCGCGUGCGGGAUGACGGCCUUCGGGUUGUAAACCGCUUUCGCCUGUGACGAAGCGUGAGUGACGGUAAUGGGUAAAGAAGCACCGGCUAACUACGUG